rnacentral:rRNA from 1 species
UACGGAGGUUGCGAGCGUUGUUCGGAAUGACUGGGCGUAAAGGGAGCGCAGGCGGCUUUUUAAGUCCGGCGUGAAAGCCCGGGGCUCAACCCCGGCGGGUCGCCGGAGACUGGGAGGCUCGAGUACGGAAGAGGCGAGUGGAAUUCCGGGUGUAGCGGUGAAAUGCGUAGAUAUCCGGAGGAACACCGGUGGCGAAAGCGGCUCGCUGGUCCGAUACUGACGCUCAGGCUCGAAAGCGUGGGGAGCAAACGGG